UUUNGAUUCAUGGCUCAGAUUGAACGCUGGCGGCAGCUACACAUGCAAGUCGAGCGGUAACAGAGAGUAGCUUGCUACUUUGCUGACGAGCGGCGGACGGGUNAGUAAUGCUUGGGAACAUGCCUUGAGGUGGGGGACAACAGUUGGAAACGACUGCUAAUACCGCAUAAUGUCUACGGACCAAAGGGGGCUUCGGCUCUCGCCUUUAGAUUGGCCCAAGUGGGAUUAAGCUAGUUGGUGAGGUAAUGGCUCACCAAGGCGACGAUCCCUAGCUGGUUUUGAGAGGAUGAUCAGCCACACUGGGACUGAGACACGGCCCAGACUCCUACGGGAGGCAGCAGUGGGGAAUAUUGCACAAUGGGCGCAAGCCUGAUGCAGCCAUGCCGCGUGUGUGAAGAAGGCCUUCGGGUUGUAAAGCACUUUCAGUCAGGAGGAAAGGUUAGUAGUUAAUACCUGCUAGCCUGUGACGUUACUGACAGAAGAAGCACCGGCUAACUCCGUGCCAGCAGCCGCGGUAAUACGGAGGGUGCGAGCGUUAAUCGGAAUUACUGGGCGUAAAGCGUACGCAGGCGGUUUGUUAAGCGAGAUGUGAAAGCCCUGGGCUCAACCUGGGAACUGCAUUUCGAACUGGCAAACUAGAGGUGUGAUAGA
rnacentral:rRNA from 1 species